rnacentral:rRNA from 1 species
AUUGAACGCUGGCGGCAGGCCUAACACAUGCAAGUCGAACGAGUGGCGGACGGGUGAGUGAUGUCUGGGAAACUGCCCGAUGGAGGGGGAUAACUACUGGAAACGGUAGCUAAUACCGCAUACCAUCGGAUGUGCCCAGAUGGGAUUAGCUAGUAGGUGGGGUACUGGCUCACCUAGGCGACGAUCCCUAGCUGGUAUGAGAGGAUGACAUGCGAAACGUGAACUGAGACACGGGCCAGACUCCUACGGGAGGCAGCAGUAGGGAAUAUUGCACAAUGGGCGCAAGCCUGAUGCAGCCAGGCCGCGUGUGUGAAGAAGGUCUUCGGGUUGUAAAGUACUUUCAUCGAGGAGGCGUUACUCGCAGAAGAAGCACCGGCUAACUCCGUGCCAGCAGCCGCGGUAAUUC